rnacentral:rRNA from 1 species
CCUACGGGUGGCAGCAGUGGGGAAUAUUGCGCAAUGGGCGAAAGCCUGACGCAGCGACGCCGCGUGAGGGAUGAAGGUCUUCGGAUCGUAAACCUCUGUCAGCAGGGAAGAACGGUCACUGUGCUAAUCAGCAGUGAAUUGACGGUACCUGCAAAGGAAGCACCGGCUAACUCCGUGCCAGCAGCCGCGGUAAUACGGAGGGUGCGAGCGUUAAUCGGAAUUACUGGGCGUAAAGCGGUCGUAGGCGGGAUGUCAAGUCAAGGGGGAAAUCCCCGCGCUCAACGUGGGAACUGACUUUGAAACUGGCAAACUGGAGUGUGUGAGAGGAUAGUGGAAUUCGAGGUGUAGGAGUGAAAUCCGUAGAUAUCUGGAGGAACAUCAGUGGCGAAGGCGACUAUCUGGCACAUAACUGACGCUGAGGAGCGAAAGCGUGGGUAGCAAACAGGAUUAGAUACCCCGGUAGUC